rnacentral:rRNA from 1 species
GUGCCAGCAGCCGCGGUAAUACGUAGGGCGCAAGCGUUAUCCGGAUUUAUUGGGCGUAAAGAGCUCGUAGGCGGUUUGUCGCGUCUGCCGUGAAAGUCCGAGGCUCAACCUCGGAUCUGCGGUGGGUACGGGCAGACUAGAGUGAUGUAGGGGAGACUGGAAUUCCUGGUGUAGCGGUGAAAUGCGCAGAUAUCAGGAGGAACACCGAUGGCGAAGGCAGGUCUCUGGGCAUUUACUGACGCUGAGGAGCGAAAGCAUGGGGAGCGAACAGGAUUAGAUACUCCUGGUAGUCC